AUGGAAAUCAGAGUGAAAUCUUCAACUUGGUAGAAUCUCCUACCUAAAAGGCAACCUACCAGUUGUAGGUGGUACCUUCUCCUCGUAGGUAGGCUCGUGGGAAUCAGACUGUAUUUUCUAUCUUCAAAACUCAAACCAUGUGUCACCUUAUAGCUCAUAGGUACAACCCACAAGUCGUACGUUGACUCAUGGGUAGCCUUCGUAGCAACCCUUCACCCUUUUUUAUCAUUCUUUGCUACAAACUCUAUUUUCCUGCAAAAUCAACACAAGCACACAUCACAUACAACAAGAAUACCUAAGUACUUGCAUAAUUUCCUUAUUUUAUGACUCUAAAGUGCCAUGAAAUCAUGGAACAUCAAUUCCCUCAACUUAGAUCGUUUGCAUGUCCUUGGGAAACUAACACAAAACUUAACAAACACGAUGCUUAACUAAAAGAAGCCUAAGACACCUACAGCAGUCAACUCAUUUUAGCUCUCAAAUUCAUUGCCCCCUCCUAUUCAUAACUUUCAAAACCACUAUGUGGAUCCAUGUAGAAGAAUAGUAUGACGCAAAAAUAGUCAAGUGAUGACAUUAUAUUAGCAACAAACAACCACGCGUAUAUGCAAUUGACACUACCCAAACAAAUAAGUAGUUAACAAUAAAACUCAUGUACCCUAAUAGCAAGGAAUUCCCGACUCGAAUAGGAUCAUAAUGCAUGUCAAUGUAGGGACUACAUCAAACACUCACACUCUCAAAGAAGUUCAAACAAUAUACAUAGAAUACCAUAGGCUUGCCUUUGGUAUCUAUACCUUAGUUUUUCGAAUAGGCGGACUGGGAUCACUAUAGGAUGUUUCGAGGCUUGUAAUGUAGGCUCAGGGGUAGGUAUGGUACGUAUGAGACAUAGUGACUCACCGUCCUUGACACUACACUUACAUUAUUGGCUCCACUACUUAAUCAUGCUUCUUUUAUUCUCUCUUUUUCUCUUUUAUUACUAUUCAGAUUAGGUAUGGUUUCCUUCAUUCUUUGCAUUUAUAUUUUUUCUUUUUCUUUUAUUUUUCUCUUUCUUUGCUUUCACACUUUUCUACCACACCCAACCCUACUUUCUUUUCUUUUAUUCAACAUCUUCUUUAUACCCAUCUUCAACUAUGCACCCCUACAAUAGCAACCCUCAACUUAGGUGAUUUGCCUGAGUUGAGGUACAUAGUGUCUAAGGCGGGACAAAGGCCAACACAUGUUCAUUAUAAUGAAAUAAGAAGGUGAAAAGUUUAAAACAAGAAAUAGGUCAAUUUAGACUCAAAUCAGGUAUCAGUAUCUAUAUUUAGUCGGUAUUUUAAGCUACGAGUGAACUUAUUCAAACAUGGCCAAUGAUGAUGUCCCAACUAAAUAUCCUACAGCCUAGGCAAGACUAACUGGGCAAGUUCUAGAUUAAAUACACAAAGUAAACUAGGUAAAUGUCUCACAUACAUGAUAUAGGGUUACAUUAUCAACUACUACCUAACUGGUUCAUGCAAUACUAAGAUAUGGUUAUUUUGUCCCUAAUAUUAAUGCCAUAAUAAGAUUCAACAAUAGUCACACAUAUAUUCACAACACACAGUUAACAAAAAUUUUAGGAGGGGUAUCAUUAAACACAUAAAAACACAAGACAUUUUGACUGCACUUUUCUUUCUUAUUUUUCUUCUAAUUGAACAAAACAACACAUAAAACAAACCAUGAACAUAUCAUAAUAACCUAGACAUGUUAGUUCUACUAUGAUAACAAACUCUUGAGAAAAGAGACACGACAAUGAAAACCCCAAGAGGACAUCUAGACCCGCAAUUAUCCCUACCCCCAUCGCAUAAUCAUGCAUUAUCUCUAAUGUAUUAGGCAGCAGCAAAGCAAGAGGGUUAGUAACAUACUGGUGGAACCUUAGGUGUAUAGAUCUAAUGUCAAUCACAAUAACACAAAUUUUUAGAAAUAACAAAACACCUUGGGUUGCCUUGCAAGCAAUGCUUAAUUUAAUGUUGCGGCACAACGUGAGGACCUUGAUUACUCAGACUUCAUCAAGGUAGUUAUAAGGUUAGCUUCUAAGAUCAUUUAAAUUGUUUAUUACUGAAACCACCCUCAUAUCUGUUGGGUGCUUUAAAUUUCUAUGAACAUUGAAUGUGACUUACUGAUUAUUCAACUUAAACUUACGCUUACCUCUUUCCAUAUCCACCAAUGCUCUCUCCCUAUCUAAAAUUUUCUUUCCAAAACUAUGGGCAUCUCAAAAUCAACGUCACAAUCCAAGUCAGCAAUGUCAGUCAGAGAGAUGAAGUUGUCCACCUUAACCAAAACAUUAAAUGAUAUGCCCACAAAUUUCUUAACAGUACGGUCUACUACUAAUAACCACAUCUUCAUGGGUUCGGUAGGUCUCAAGCCUAAUUUUUUGAACACUGCCAGCGACAUCAAGUUAAUUCUUGCACCCAAGUCACACAAAUCCCUGAAAAAUAUAGAUUAUCCAAUCAUACAAGAAAUUGUGAAGGAGCCAGGGUCACUUUUCUUUUGUACAAAAGAUCGAGAUGUAACCACACUAUAAUGAUAAAAAACCACCAACAUCCUCAUAACUAACAAUUCUCUUCUUUUUCACCAAAUCCUUCAUAAAUUUUGCAUAACUAGGCACCUAUUCUAGUGCUUCAAGAUGAAGGAUAUUCAUAUUCAACUCCUUCAGCAUAGAAAUAAACUUCUUAUACUAUUCUUCGCUAGCUUUCUACUUCAAUCACUGGGGAAAUGGUUAAGAAGGUUGGAGAAUAUGCUUCAGUGGUGGUGUGACCUCCUUACCCUUAUUUUAUCAUUGUCAACUCUUUUCUCUACAAUGGUAUGCUUCUAACAUCUCACUGUUUAUCGCUAACUUUUCAAUUUCAUUUUUAUCUGUAUCAUCAAUGUCCAUUAGGUCAUUCCUCACACAAUCAACCACAGAUGUAUGGAUCAAUAAUGGGCUUAACCAUCCUAGUAGUUAUAUCUAAACAAUGAAUAUCAUUCUUAAAAUUCUUAAUUAUGUUGCUAGGAAAAGUUCCUAGUUGACGCUGAAUCAAAGUAACAUACAUCUUCCUAAACAACUGCUCAAGAUGCUAAAUCGCAGUUCUCAACCCUGAUAUGUUUGCCUUAAUCUCCUUUAGGAAAUUAUCUUGGCUCUCUGAACCAUUCAUAAGAUUAGCAAGCAAUGGUUCCAUUUUCAAAAUUUUAGACUCAAGAUCACGAUUCCUUAGUGGAACAUAAAGACUAUUCUUUUUCUUGUAAUCAUUCUUUCUCCUCCAAUCACUAUCACGUUAUCUACUCUUAUCCCUAUGCCUAUCUCCGUAGUAGUUCCAACCUUGAUUCCCUUGCCUUGAGUUCUAAGUGUCUUGGUUAGACCCUUGGCCCUUGUCUUAGAAACCAAUCAUCUCUCUGUCCAAGUGCUUUGCUUCUUCUUCAGAAUCACUCUUCCUAUCUAGAUGCCUUACCUCGAAAACCUAUUACAUUUAUCUUUUCUGCUCCCAUAGCUAUACUUACUUAGUAGCAAACCAAUCUUAGUCCUUAGCUCUACUACCUCUUGUUACACUGACUCAUCUAAGGCCCUUUCUUUACUAGAAGCACCAAUAGCAUAAGUAUCGGCUAACCUGUCUGCCUCCUGAGUUUACCACUGUAAUGCCCUGAGUCUGUACCCCGAAUGCUAUAUGAUGCUCGUAAUCCGAAAGGACCAUAAGCUAAACUAUGACUGGUACCUGUUGUAAUAACUGAAUAACAAUAAUACUGAAAUAUGCAUAAAUUUGGCAGAAAACAUGUCAUAAGGUUCAAUACUAUAAAUAAUACUAAAUAUGGUAUCACAAUACCAAAAACUAAACAUCAAUACUGAAAACUGAUCAACUGUCUGAAAAUACUCUAGUCUGAAAACCCUCUAAACUAUCUGAACUGUGGAGUUGAUGAGACAGGUCCCCAACUAACUCCGACAACUGAAAAUGAACUGAAAUGCUGAAUUUCCAUCGACAUAAUGUUUAUGUAACAAUGUGUUGUCAAGUUGUUAAGAGAGGGUGUCAAAAGUGUGGUGAAUAUGUCAAGGAACUAUGCUCACGAAUUACACUGUGAAGGUGUAAUAAACUAAUGAGAAUAUAACAAAAAAUUAAAAAUGCAUCAACAUGCUAAGGAACACAAUGAUGUACUUAAUCUAAUGUUUAACAUAAUAAAAAUGCUCAAAAACAAACAUUUUCACACACUAGCAAUCAUGCUAAUAGUGCGGAAAUUUAAUAUUAAUAUACUAGGAAAUGCUAAAAAUAUCUAAAAUCUAAUAUUUAACAGGCUGAAAUUAAUGAUUUUAUGCAGAAACGCAGUUUAGACAUGAUGAAAUUUAAUUGUUUUAUGCGGAAAUACUUUUUUAACAUGCCAAAAUUUAAUAUUAGCACACUGAAAAAUGCAUUAACGUUAUUGUUUUUGACAUGCUGAAAAAUAUGUUAAUGCGCAGGAAUUUUUAUGUUAAUCAUGCUACAAUUUUAACAUGGACAUGCUUAAUUCUAAUGUUCAAUAUGCUACAAACAUAUUAAUAUGCAGAAAUUUAAUUGUUGACAUGCUCAAAAAUACUAACAUGUAAUAAGUAGUUUUAAUAUGCUGAAAUUUAGUUUAACAUGCCUAGAUUCAUUUUAAUGUGUAGAAAUUUAAUACUAUAGUGAUCUAAUAAUACUGAAAUACGUGUGAAUGUGCAAAGACAUGCUCUAAUUAUGCGGAAAUUUGUUUUAAUGUGCUGAAACAUAUUAACACGUCAAAAUCUAUUUUAAUAUGCAUACAACAUUUAAAUCCUAAAAGCAUGAUUUCUAAUCGGAUUAAUAAGUAGAUUAAUUGUCUAAGCGGUUCAUAUGUUAAUAAAUCCUAGGUUUGUGUGCCUAAAUAAUCCACAUAGCAUGUAACACACGUAAAACCUAAUUUGUGUCUAUCUAUACUAUUCAUAGAGCACGUAAAUCCCCUCCCCAAAAACAGUCCCCAAUAUUUAUUAUUACAUCAAUAGUAAUGUUUGUACAACAAUAUUACAAACCAAAUAAUAAGAAAAUAAAACUAAUACAAUCUAUUGUAAACACCCCGGCGACUCUUGCGAUUUCCAAAACAUCACUUAAUAAUACCUGUUUGAUACAAAUCGAAAGAGCACGAAAAGCACAAAAGAAACAACACAUGAUCCUAAACCACACAUUGUUUCAAACAGAGGAACCAAAGAAGAGACAUGCAUAUUAAGCAAGCAUUGUUUCAAAUUAGUGCCUAUAGACAUACUUACUAACACACUAAAUCAUUCAAUGGACAAAUAAAUAAGUAAUUAUAUCGUUUAGAUACUUACUGAUGAGCAGCGAUAAAAGAAAUAAUAAGAAUAAUAAAGCCAAUCCUUUGUAAGAGUAAUAUGCAGGAUGCUUCCUUAAGGUCCAAAAAAAAUACAAGAGGGUUUAAAGAUAUUUCUCCUCGUGUUUAAAAAAGCGAAUAGCUCUUUUGUUUUUAGAGAGUAGUGAUUGUAACUGAAGAGAUGUCCGAAGAAGAGAAGAGGGGGUCCCUUUUUAUAGUAAAGGAAUUGUGAGAGGAAAAUAAAGAGAAAAUAUUCAGCAAAUCAAUGUAGAAGUUAUUUCCCCGAAAUCAAUGGGCAGAAUCAAAAUAGCUUUGCAAAUUAUGUCAAAAUUACCAAAAAUAAGCUUGAUGAAAAAAGUUGUCCAAGUAAAGGAAAAAGGCAAGACAAUCAGUCAAGAAAAUAAAAAAAAGGUAAAGAAAUAUUCAAAAUAAUCAAUCAACCACAUUAAAUGAGAAGAAAAUUAUCAUAAUAACUACUACUGCAAGGCUCAAUAUACGUAAAAAGGAAAGCAAAAUCACAUAUUAUUAAAUUGGAAUCUGUCAAGGGAUGCAUUUCCUUAAAAUUGAUCACGAGUGUAAAUUAUGUCAAUGUAUUCCAAAAAUAAAUAAUUAGGAAAAUCAGUAAAUAAAGCACUGGAUCAGUGGGAAAUUACAUGAAGAAUGAUGUCACUAAGCAACCACAAUUAAUUGUAGAUGAGCGAGAUAGAGUCUAUGACAAGAUCAGUCUCGUCUAAUAAGAGAGAAACAAACACAUGCAAUAGCUAGCUACCUUAUGGUCACGGGAACAACUAAAAUCACUGUAAUGACACAACAAAAAAUAAUGGAUAAUAGAACGGUGUCCAAAUAAUCACGCAAGAAAAUGUAACAGUAAUAAAAUAAACUUGCACACCAAACCUAACUAACAAAUUAAUUUCAAUUAAAGCAAAAAGUUUCAAAAAAUAAAGCUAACAGUGAUCGAUAUUGUGCAGAAAAGGUUAUUCCUGCCAGAUCUGAAACGAAAACGGGAGGGGUGCCUAGUGGAGGCUCUCUGGUUGACUGGCUGGUUGGCUAGUUUUCCGCUGGCCAGAAAAUGAUGGAGCAACGAGGGGAUAUGGCUGGCGGCGGAGGCGUUCGCCGUUGUGGCAGCGGCUGUGGAGAAGGAUUCUCCGGCUAAAUGGUGAAUCGAUGGCCAGAGUUGAAAGGGGAGUUUACGCCGGCUAUUUCAGCCUGUGGGUGGACCACUCGUGGCUGGGUUUGGUUCGCCGUUGGUUGGAUGGAGAAAGAGGAGGUGGACUGGUGGUGCUCCGACCAUCAGGUGGCCAGAGAGGGAGACUGGAGCAGCAGCAGCAGUGGGGUUUUGGGCGCUGAUGACGGAGAGAGAGGGGAAAGGGGCUCGUCAGCGGUGGGAUAGCCGGCGGAGUCCAUAGUUGUAGCUUUGGUUAUUGUUGGAUAGUGAUAGAGGGAAGAAGAGAGGAAGGAAAGGGGGAGGCGAAUGGUGAAAGAAAAAAUGAUGGAUUAGGGUUUAUGUUUCCUUUGAAAGGAAAGGAUAGAGUAGGGUGAUCUCAGCCAUUGGAUCAAAAGAAUUGGGACCCUUUAAAUGUGGCUAGAAUUGUAAUAACUUGUGUAAAGUUAGGCUAAGAUUGUUAUAAAUUAGAUGUAAAAGGUUAGAGUUUAAAUAAAUUAAAUUAAGUCAGGC
rnacentral:lncRNA from 1 species